UUUGUAGUGUACUAUUCUUGGACAAGAACGGACUUACUUGCGUUAUCAUAUCCGAUGGCUGAAUUACACUUUGGUGGGGUUCGUGUUACUCUGGGUUUUUUUUUGGUAUUCGAUAAUGUGUUUUGUGCACUGUUGUUUAUCUUUUGGUUUUUUAUUUUCGAAUUAUGAGUUCAAUGUCCCUGUCGUAAAUAAACCCAUCAUAGAUACCAGGACCAAAUUUUGUAUAUACGCCAGACGCUCGUCUCGUCUACAAAAGACUCAUCAGUGACGCUCGAAUCCAAAAAAGUUAAAAAGGCCAAAUAAAGUACGAAGUUGAAGAGCAUUGAGGACCCUAAUUCCU
rnacentral:lncRNA from 1 species